rnacentral:rRNA from 1 species
CCUACGGAGGAAGCAGUGAGGAAGAGUGGUCAAGGGACGAGAGUCAGAACCAGCCAAGUAGAGUGAAGGAGGACGGCCCUAUGGGUUGUAAACUUCUUUUAUAUGGGAAUAAAAUGUUCCACGUGUGGGAUUUUGUAUGUACCAUAUGAAUAAGGAUCGGCUAACUCCGUGCCAGCAGCCGCGGUAAUACGGAGGAUCCGAGCGUUAUCCGGAUUUAUUUGGUUUAAAGGGAGCGUAGGUGGAUUGUUAAGUCAGUUGUGAAAGUUUGCGGCUCAACCGUAAAAUUGCAGUUGAAACUGGCAGUCUUGAGUACAGUAGAGGUGGGCGGAAUUCGUGGUGUAGCGGUGAAAUGCUUAGACAUCACGAAGAACUCCGAUUGCGAAGGCAGCUCACUGGACUGCAACUGACACUGAGGCUCGAAAGUGUGGGUAUCAAACAGGAUUAGAUACCCCUGUAGUC